GAGUUUGAUCAUGGCUCAGGAUGAACGCUAGCGGCAGGCCUAAUACAUGCAAGUCGAGGGGCAGCACGGUAGCAAUACUGGUGGCGACCGGCGCACGGGUGCGUAACACGUAUACAAUCUGCCCUUAACAGGGGGAGUAGCCCGGAGAAAUCCGGAUUAAUACCCCAUAACAAUGGAGUUGGCAUCAACACUAUUUAAAAGUUCCGACGGUUAAGGAUGAGUAUGCGUCUGAUUAGCUAGUUGGUGAGGUAACGGCUCACCAAGGCGACGAUCAGUAGGGGAUCUGAGAGGAUUAACCCCCACACGGAUACUGAGACACGGAUCCGACUCCUACGGGAGGCAGCAGUAAGGAAUAUUGGACAAUGCCCGCAAGGGUGAUCCAGCCAUGCCGCGUGCAGGAAGACGGCCCUAUGGGUUGUAAACUGCUUUUGUACCGGAGAAAACCUCCCCUCGUGAGGGGAGCUGAUAGUAUGGUAAGAAUAAGCAUCGGCUAACUUCGUGCCAGCCGCCGCGGUAAU
rnacentral:rRNA from 1 species